rnacentral:tRNA from 1 species
GGCGGUGUAGCUCAGAGGCAGAGCAGGGGUCUCAUAAGCCCUGUGCCGGUGGUUCAAGUCCACCCACCGCCACCA